UCGGGAAUUUUGGGCAAUGGGCGAAAGCCUGACCCAGCAACGCCGCGUGAGUGAUGAAGGCCUUAGGGUUGUAAAGCUCUUUUACCAGGGAUGAUAAUGACAGUACCUGGAGAAUAAGCUCCGGCUAACUCCGUGCCAGCAGCCGCGGUAAUACGUAGGGUGCAGGCGUUAAUCGGAAUUACUGGGCGUAAAGCGCACGUAGGCGGUUUUUAAGUCAGAUGUGAAAGCCCCGGGCUCAACCUGGGAAUUGCAUUUGAAACUGGAAAACUAGAGUGUGUGAGAGGGGGGUAGAAUUCCAAGUGUAGCGGUGAAAUGCGUAGAUAUGUGGAGGAAUACCGAUGGCGAAGGCAGCCCCCUGGGAUAACACUGACGCUCAUGCACGAAAGCGUGGGGAGCAAACAGGAUUAGAUACCCUUGUAGUCCCUGAGCGGGCUGGCAAGGCGCAU
rnacentral:rRNA from 1 species